GUAAAGCAAGCCACACAAUUUUUUGUUUUCCCAAUGCAUAUACACCACACAUAGUCUAUUAAGUAUGAAAUAGCAUUAUGGCUAAAAAUAUAUAUACUUAAUUGAAAAUACUUCAUUGCUAAAAAAAAAUCAAAUGCUAA